UACGGAGGGAGCUAGCGUUGUUCGGAAUUACUGGGCGUAAAGCGCACGUAGGCGGCUUUGUAAGUUAGAGGUGAAAGCCUGGGGCUCAACUCCAGAAUUGCCUUUAAGACUGCAUCGCUUGAAUCAUGGAGAGGCGAGUGGAAUUCCGAGUGUAGAGGUGAAAUUCGUAGAUAUUCGGAAGAACACCAGUGGCGAAGGCGGCUCGCUGGACAUGUAUUGACGCUGAGGUGCGAAAGCGUGGGGAGCAAACCGG
rnacentral:rRNA from 1 species